rnacentral:rRNA from 1 species
CGGGUGAGUAACACGUAGGUAAUGUGCCUUUGGGUGGGGAAUAACUUAGGGAAACUUAAGCUAAUACCGCAUAAUGCAGCGGCUCCUUAUGGAGACAGUUGUUAAAGAUUUAUCGCCUAAAGAGCAGCCUGCGGCAGAUUAGCUAGUUGGUAAGGUAAUGGCUUACAAAGGCUACGAUCUGUAACCGACCUGAGAGGGUGGUCGGUCACACUGACACUGAAUAACGGGUCAG